CACACCCCCUAGUGAGGAUAUGCCCGCAACCAAGGUACAUGCCCUUGACCAGAAUCGAACCCGGGACCUUUCAGUCCCCAAGCCGCCGGACGCUCUAUCCACUGAGCCAAACAGGUUUGGUUCAAUUGUAUUUUCAUAUCAAGAUGUAAACAAAAUUGGAACUUGACUUUUUAAAAAUAGCAUUUACAAUAGAAUUUUUUAAAUUAAUACAUAAAUAAAUUUAACAAAAAAGGUAUAAGACCUGAACGCUAAAAACUACAAAACAUGACUGAGAAUAAUUAAAAACCUAAAUAGUUGGAGAGAUCUAGCAUGUUCAUAGAUUAGAAGAACCAUUACUGUUAAAAUGCCAGUUUUCCCCAAACUUAUCUCUAUAGAUUGAGUGCAAUCCAAA